AAAAAGAAUAGAUUUGCCGUAGACAGUAGGUGCUGUAAAGCUUAAAAUUCCUACCGAGGUUUUAGAUAAAUUGAAAUUACUAAAGCUUUUGUUGUCUUAUUUUGACUCAGAAGCUUUUUUA
rnacentral:sRNA from 1 species